rnacentral:rRNA from 1 species
GGCUGUCGUCAGCUCGUGUCGUGAGAUGUUGGGUUAAGUCCCGCAACGAGCGCAACCCUCACUUUUAGUUGCCAUCAUUAAGUUGGGCACUCUGAAAGAACUGCCAGUGAUAAGCUGGAGGAAGGUGGGGAUGACGUCAAGUCCUCAUGGCCCUUACGUGUUGGGCUACACACGUGCUACAAUGGCAUCUACAACAGGAAGCAAAACUUCAACGUUAAGCAAAUCCCGAAAAGAUGCCUCAGUUCGGAUUGCACUCUGCAACUCGAGUGCAUGAAGCUGGAAUUACUAGUAAUCGUGGAUCAGCGUGCCACGGUGAAUGCGUUCCCGGGUCUU